ACCAAAAGAGCUCAGGUGGUAGAGCAUCAGAUUUUUAAUCUGAGGAUCUAGGGUUAAAGUCCUUGUUUGGGUA
rnacentral:tRNA from 1 species